UGUGUGGGAAAGAAAGCUAGACCAGGGUUAUCGGUGUGGAUCGCACACAAGAAAGAGACUGCUAACGGAUGAGACACGUUUUAAGCGAUUCCGUAAAAUGGAUUUCUGCAUAAACUGCAUUUUCAAAGUAGGAACUACAGCCAGGCUCUUCUGUGUACCACCUUACGGGAGGCAAAGAUGGAUGCUGAAAUGACAACAGUGUUUUGAGCACAACAGAAAAGGAAUUAAUCUUCUUUUUUCUUCUUGUUUCAAGUUGGUUUUAUGGAGUAAUUCCCAGUUUAGAUGCAGAUGGUUAGAGAGUUUUUGUCCUGCUAGCUGUCAACGGGUCCAUUUUGUGUCCAUGACACCGGCAGCAUCAUGGGGCUCACAAGACAAAGCCACCGUCCAACUAAACUAGGAGCUUGCAGUCUGCCUCCUUUCUGGUCCACCAUUUGGACAUCAUGAAGCAAAUUCUUCAAUUUUUGCCUGACCAGCUGGAGAGCUGUUUGGAUCUUUAAAAGGACCGGCUGUACAACACCUGAGGUUCAGAGCCAAACCAGGCCUGGGAGCUUCUUCAUCAGAUUUCAAAAGACUGAAGUGAGGAGUCUACCACUACAUGAUUAAUCGUUAAACAUGGCUGCUUGCUUCAGCAGGGAACAGAUGCUAGUUGCCUCCAUUUGAAGGAAAUUCUUCCGCUGUGUUGCCAGGAAAUCAGGCAUCCAGUAGCCUAGCAGUGGAGCUCCAUUUCCCUGCUGCAGGGCACAGACUCUUCUUCUUCUUGCCCCUCCCUCCCCCACUCUCCCCCCUUCCACAAGGAUUUUGACAACAACGGGUGUGCUGAUUGCAAGAUGACAGUCCCAGAGAGGAAACCAAAUCUCCUAACCUUUGUUUUUCAUCAGUCAUUAUUGGACAGAGAUGGAAGAUGUCCUGCUGCAGAUUUCAUCCCUGAUGGGACCUUGUCCUUCUGCAGACAAAUCAAAUGAUUCAAAUGACCUUCUGUUAUUUAUGAAAAGAACAGAAAUGUGAUGUUACGUUUUAAAGUUGAGUGUUUAGAGAGUUUAAAAUAUAAUAAUACAUGGAAAACAAUAAAGGCUCCUACAACCAUCAUAUACAUGGUGUGAUUUGUGU